UACAGAGGGUGCAAGCGUUGUUCGGAAUUAUUGGGCGUAAAGCGCGUGUAGGCGGCUUUGCAAGUCGGGUGUGAAAGCCCUCAGCUCAACUGAGGAAGUGCGCCCGAAACUGCAGAGCUUGAGUGCCGGAGAGGGUGGCGGAAUUCCCCAAGUAGAGGUGGAAUUCGUAGAUAUGGGGAGGAACACCGGUGGCGAAGGCGGCCACCUGGACGGUAACUGACGCUGAGACGCGAAAGCGUGGGGAGCAAACAGG
rnacentral:rRNA from 1 species